rnacentral:rRNA from 1 species
AUGGUCGGGCUCUCUCUCCGCCGCACGCGCUGCUCCCCGCAGCCGGCCAGGUGCUCUCCAGCCGGUGAGACCGCCGCAGCCUCUCUCCCCCCACCGGCCUGUCCACCGCCGACCCCACUCCACACAGCCGCCGGUGGAACCCUACUCCAUACUGCCGCCGCCUCCACUGGCAGGAGCUUUCUCCGCUGCCCCCUCCGUCUGCAGAUGGUCUUGCCGUUGCCGUCCAAACCCUACCGGCGGUUGCCCUUUUUGUCCGUGCCCAAGCUUAUCUAUCUCCUGGAGGUGCCGCCGGCAAGAAGAUCUUACAACUUUUUGGUGCACCACUAUUAG